rnacentral:lncRNA from 1 species
AUGAAUUUUCCCCUAUGCAUUCAGGAUAGACAGGGAAACAUUGUGACCCUAGAUCAUUAAGUUGGGAGAUUAAGUUGGGAGUUCUGCCUGUCCUUGGGAGCCAGCCAAUGGCCCAGGAGAGAAGCCAGAUGGGAUCACAGACCUCAAGCUGACAGAUGUGGCAGUAGAGGUUUCCAGGAAGAAGUAUCAGAGGCUGGCCAGGAAAGAGAGCCACUCGCCCAGAUGCAAAACCCCAAGGAGUGAAGAUGCAGGUGAGCCUUUCCUGGAACAAAUUCCUUCAGAAAAAUUCUCCACCAGACCAUCAAUUCAGGAGAGUAAAUGGGGAGCUUAUUGUUAGCAGUUGGGGCCAAACCACCGGAGUUUCCUAUGCCAGGUGAGCACAAACAGAGGCUGA